GCGGGGGUCGCCAAGUCAGGUCAAAGGCGCAGCCCUGAGGCGGCUGUCCCGUAGGGGUUCGUGGGUUCAAAUCCCACCCCCCGCACCA
rnacentral:tRNA from 2 species